rnacentral:lncRNA from 1 species
AUGCUCCCUGGCCAGUCUCGGAGCCACAGCUCCUGUGAGGUGGCUCGUGGUCCUAACCUGAAGAAGGCCUCUGCCCUGAGGCUCCUUCCAGAUGCAGUGAGGCUGAGGGCUGCCCUCCCAGGCAUGUUUCCUCCAGGCCAGGCCCCGGGCGGCUUCCCACACCCCUUCCCCACAGAGCAGGCAGGACUGCCCAUGGCCUCAGCCAUCGCUGCCCCCCCGGUUCCAUGUGGAAGGCUUAGAGCCCCCUGGAGAAGGGCCCCACCACCCUCCUGGUGCCCUGCUGGGUCCGGAGAAGAAGUGCUUGUGCUGGAGGUCCCAGGUGCUCUCGUGGUGUGGGAGGGAUGUCGGCUGGGCCUGCCUCGCCAGGCAUCGCAGAGAGAUACCCAGUGGCCUGUUCCGCUUGCCUCCGCAGCUUUAACCCAAGGGCAGGCGGGCAUCCCCAUCACGGAGGGGGAGGAAGUUGGUGGCAGGCUGAGAUUUGAGGCCAAGGGGCCUCAGCCUGCUCUUUCCUCCACCCCGUGGGACAGACAGGGCACAGAAAGCCGUGGACACAGAGCCCCUGCCUCAGUCACUGUGUCGCCUCCUCCACCCAGUGGCCAGGGCACUGCCAGCCCUCACAUGUGUCAGGCCCCUGGGGCAGGGCCCCUGCUUCCUCAGCCUUCUGCAGAGGGCUGUGAGCAGUGGCCCAGCGGGCAAGCCCAGCGUGCUCCCAGGAGGAGGCGCCAGGAGGCAGCUCGGUCUCUGUCUGGUGCAGAUCUCGUCCAUGGAGAAGAGCCUAAAGAACAUCGAGGAGGAGAACAAGCUUAUCGAGGAGCAGAACGAAGCCCUGUUUCUGGAGCUGUCAGGCCUGAGCCAGGCCCUCAUCCAAAGUCUUGCCAACAUCCGCCUUCCGCACAUGGAGCCAAUCUGCGAACAGAACUUCGACGCCUACGUGAGCACGCUCACCGACAUGUACUCCAACCAGGAGCGCUACCAGAACCCCGAGAACAAGGACCUCCUCGAGAGCAUCAAGCAGGCCGUGAGGGGCAUCCAGGUCUAGGCCUCCUCGUGCCAGGAGCCAGCGUGCUGACCCCGGGCGCCCAGGGCCCCUGGCCUUGGCUCCUUCGUUUACCUCCCUUGCCCUGCCCUCCCAGUGGAGAUUCCCAACUCGUACUGACUCCGGUUGGCGGCCCGGGGCGGCCUCGCGCAGGUCCACCCAGAGGGGUGCGUGGGAAGCUGUGUCGCCCUCCAUGUGAGGUGCUGGCCGGGCCGGAGGCCUCGACACCUCCACGCACAUGCAGGGGCGUGAAGUAUUGCAAAGUGAUUUAUUUUUGUUUCUGA